rnacentral:rRNA from 1 species
UUGACGGGGGCCCGCACAAGCGGUGGAGCAUGUGGUUUAAUUCGAUGAUACGCGAGGAACCUUACCUGGGCUCAAAUGUAUGUUGACGUAUUCUGAAAGGGAUACUUCUUCGGACAAUAUACAAGGUGCUGCAUGGUUGUCGUCAGCUCGUGCCGUGAGGUGUCGGGUUAAGUCCCAUAACGAGCGCAACCCCUAUCAUUAGUUGCCAUCAGGUCAAGCUGGGGACUCUAAUGAAACUGCCUACGCAAGUAGUGAGGAAGGUGGGGAUGACGUCAAAUCAGCACGGCCCUUACGUCCAGGGCUACACACGUGCUACAAUGGCCGGUACAAAGGGCAGCUACCUGGUGACAGGAUGCUAAUCUCAAAAGCCGGUCUCAGUUCGGAUCGCAGUCUGCAACUCGACUGCGUGAAGUCGGAAUCGCUAGUAAUCGUGAAUCAGAAUGUCACGGUGAAUACGUUCCCGGGCCUU